AUGCGUCUUGAUCUGAUGAGGGAAGACAUUGAAGCCAACUGCGUACAAGUACACCUGCCUUAUAUAAAGCCAAUUCUUAUCUGCUGCUUUUACAGGCCCCCUAGUGCAGAUGCUAUGUAUAUGAAUGGGUUGUGUGAAAUGUUUGACAAGAUAUCAGAUGAAAAUAGAGAGAUUUACCUGCUGGGUGAUGCAAAUGUCGACUGGUUGGUGCACUCAUGUCCCAAUACAAAGAAGCUACUCUCUGUAUUAAAUGGAUGUAAUCUGUCUCAGAUUGUUGGAGUUCCCACAAGAAUACACAAAAGAAGUGACGGGAUUGUCUCUGAGACAUGCAUUGACCAUAUCUAUACAAAUGCUUCUCUGCAAUGUUCUAAGGCCAUCUCUGUGCCUGUAGGUUUUAGUGACCAUAACAUCAUAGCCAUCUCCAGACUGUCAAAGAUGUCUAAACCUAAAGCUAAAGUCAUUUUAACAUGGUCCUAUAAGAGAUUUAAUGAGCUUUCAUUCAUUGAUGAAAUAACAAAUGUAAAUUGGGACAUUGUGUGUCGUGAGUAUGACCCUGAAGCUGCCCUGGAUUUAUUUAUGUCAAUGUAUAUGAAUGUUGUUAACAAACAUGCCCCCUUAAAAAAACAUGUUGUUAAAAAUAGGUCUGCCCCAUGGCUUGACCUCAGUCUUAGGACCCUAAUGACAGACAGAGAUAUGGCCAAAAAAGCAUCUGUUAUUUCUGGAUCAAUUGAUGACAGGCUGAAUUACUGUUCUCUACGUAAUCAAGUUGUAAAACUGGGUUGCCCACUAAGAUCUAAUGUGAUCCAUAUGCAUGCCUGCCUCUCAUGGCUUACUGUUGCCAAUAGGUUGUCUUUUAAUACACUUAUGCUGUUCAAAUCAGUCAUGAGCAGUAAAUCUCCAGUUUCUAUACAUACACAAAUAGUUUUUAGUAAUACUGUUCAUGAACACAACACUAAAGGUUCCAGUAAUGGGCAGCUUGCUUUACCUUGCCCAAAAACCAAUGCUUUAAGAGAUCUUUUAUUUACAGGUCAUUGUCACUUUGGAAUAACCUGCCUCCAAGCCUCUGCUGCAUUGACAGUAAAUUUACUUUUAAAAAGAAUCUAA
rnacentral:lncRNA from 1 species